rnacentral:rRNA from 1 species
CCUACGGGAGGCCGCAGUGAGGAAUAUUGGUCAAUGGACGGAAGUCUGAACCAGCAAUGCCGCGUGCAGGAAGACGGCUCUAUGAGUUGUAAACUGCUUUUGUACAAGGGUAAACCUGAAUACGUGUAUUCAGUUGACAGUACCGUACGAAUAAGCAUCGGCUAACUCCGUGCCAGCAGCCGCGGUAAUACGGAGGAUCCAAGCGUUAUCCGGAUUUAUUGGGUUUAAAGGGUGCGUAGGCGGAUUGAUAAGUUAGAGGUGAAAUGUCCGAGCUUAACUCGGGAACUGCCUCUAAUCCUGUUGAUCUAGAGAGUAGAUGCGGUAGGCGGAAUGUAUGGUGUAGCGGUGAAAUGCUUAGAGAUAAUACAGAACACCGAUUGCGAAGGCAGCUUACCAAUCUAUAUCUGACGUUGAGGCACGAAAGCGUGGGGAGCAAACAGGAUUAGAUACCCUUGUAGUC